rnacentral:rRNA from 1 species
GUGUCAGCAGCCGCGGUAAUACGUAGGGUGCAAGCGUUGUCCGGAAUUAUUGGGCGUAAAGAGCUCGUAGGCGGUUUGUCGCGUCGGCCGUGGAACCCUUGCGCUCAACGCGAGGCGUGCGGUCGAUACGGGCAGACUUGAGUUCGGCAGGGGAGACUGGAAUUCCUGGUGUAGCGGUGAAAUGCGCAGAUAUCAGGAGGAACACCGGUGGCGAAGGCGGGUCUCUGGGCCGAUACUGACGCUGAGGAGCGAAAGCGUGGGGAGCGAACAGGAUUAGAAACCCCAGUAGUCC